GGACGCGGGAGACCCGCGCCCGGCCGGACCCCCCUGCGGCGCAGCCAGGCUCGUGCCAGGCCGGCGCCGUGGAGAGGAGCCGGCACGAGGAGCGGUGUUUGCCUCCUCCAGGAGUACUGCAGGCGAUACGGGUGGCGGCGCCUCGAGGUUCCCCGCUGCGCGGCCGCGCGGCCCCGGCAGCACGCGGCGAUGCCCAGAGCUGCAGCGGCGACGGGCCGGGGAAGGGGCCGCGGAGCCCGUCCGAAGGUCUGGGAACGCGGCGGGAUGCAGAGAGCCCUCCGCGGCCUGGAUCUUCUCGGGACGCUUCCCGCGUGCCCUGGCACGACGCUCGUCGCUCCUGAGCGCGUGCUGAGCGCGUUGUGUUUGCGCAGGAGGCCCUGAAGCGCGGUUCAUACGGGAGCUGCUGACUCGGGCUUAACUUCAGAAUCGCAAA